GAUGAACGCUAGCUGGAGGCUUAAUACAUGCAAGUCGAGCGGGAUUGGGUAGCAAUACCCAUGAGAGCGGCGCACGGGUGAGUAACACGUACACGACCUACCUCUAACAGGGGGAUAGCCCUGGGAAACUGGGAUUAAUACCGCAUAUAAUUCUGAAUAAUAAAGGUUUGGAAUGAAAGCUGAGGCGGUUAGAGAUGGGUGUGCGUCUGAUUAGCUAGUUGGUAGGGUAACGGCCUACCAAGGCGAUGACCAGUAGGGGGCGUGAGAGCGUGGUCCCCCACACGGGUACUGAGACACGGACCCGACUCCUACGGGAGGCAGCAGUAAGGAAUAUUGGUCAAUGGGCGAAAGCCUGAACCAGCCAUCCAGCGUGCAGGAAGAAGGCCCUAUGGGUUGUAAACUGCUUUUAUCAGGGAAGAAACCUCUGGAUUUACUCCGGAGCUGACGGUACCUGAAGAAUAAGCACCGGCUAACUCCGUGCCAGCCGCCGCCGUAA
rnacentral:rRNA from 1 species